ensembl:lncRNA
AUGAUACGGCAGCCGCUCAGGCAGGCGGGGAGCAGCGCAGCCUGUAAUUUCCUGGUCAUAUGUAACUGGGUGGGGAAGCGCCUGAUCCUUGGGAAAGAAGAGAACAAAAAACUUUCUUGGCUGCAGCUAUCAGCUAAUUUUUGGUUGCUUUUGAAUGCCAAGGCCAGCAGGAUCCAGGAAUUCAUCUACUGGUGCCAGCAAGAAAGCACUGACCCAAACAAGGGAGCCAGAACUUGGACUGCAGUCCUUGCCAGGGAUCAGCAAGAGGCCAGAGAGACCAUGCUGCUGAGUCAUCACCGCUCCAGCUGCUACAAGCCUUUUCUGGGGACGCGGCUGUUGCUAAGAUUCCUGGGAGCUGACUGAUUGCUCCUUCUAUAGUCAUGUAACACACACGUACACGUCAAAGGAACAAGGAGCAGCAGCUGGGGCGAGCUCAGAGCGAGCACACAGCCUGCUGGCCGUGCGCAGCCGGGCUGGUGCCUGUGCAGGACUUGGGCCCCGUGGGAGCUGCAUUGCUGCUCGGGGCUUCUUUUGCAGGCACAGACCUACCUUGUUCCCUGGAAGCUCCCACUCAUGGAGGCGUUUCAAAAAUCAAACAGUCCAGGCAGUGAUUCUGUACAAAAUUUUCUUUCUGUUUGUACUUGCACGCUCCACCACAUACUUCCCCCCCCCCCCCCCCCGCCCCCACAUUUAGAGGUAGGGACAUGCUUAAAAUCUAUGAAGUGCAUUCCUUGGAGGGUCACUGUUGGGUCAUUCUCUUAAUGCAAUAAAUAAAUAUAUUCAAUCAGCAGGCAAGUAAAGUGAGCUCUUUCCAGUUCUGGGGCCCAGAGCUGAAACUGGUGAUAUUUCUUAUUAAGCCCUGUAAGGUUUCAGAGUAUUCUGCAGUUUCACGCACUGCACAGGAAGGGAAUGCUUGUUCAUGAGCAUCCUGCAUUUUCCUUCUCCCAGUUUAAUGUCUUAAAUUUUUUUUCUCCUGCCUUUUAUCUGCCUGAGGUACGUGCCUCCCUCAGAUGCUGCAGUUACCCUUGUUUCCUGAUCCACAUUUGACACUCAACAAACUACAUGUACUCAGGAUUUCAAAUCUCACGCUAUAUAAUCAUGCUUAGGUUGUUAAAGCCUAAGGGUAUAGGACCUGACAUAUUCUCUCUCUGACAUUAGAUACAUCACUGAUUUCAAAGGAAUAACUAAUCAUACUAACAUUUAAUAGUAAAACUUAUGAUUCCAGAGCCCAGUCUCCUUCCUUCCCUGUUGAGUGUUUGUUGACGUGCCAGACUCAGAAUUACAAAUUGCGAAAUGAAGAUGUAGAGCACUUGAGUUUUGUGGUCACUUUUUUUUCCAGUAGCACCUUGCAGUCCUACCCAUGGUCCAAGAUCACUAUAUACCAUAAUACUAAAAAAAGGCUCUCUGCCCCAAAGUGUUCACAGUCUAAUAAUAAAACAAGAGACCAACAGAGAGCAGAGACAGACAGGGGAGGACCAGCAGGAAAUUAAUUGGGUUUGGCCAGCAUGGCAGGAGGUGUUUUUCACAAACAAGUAAACCAACUGAAUUUUAGGGCAGUUUCAGGUCAGGAAGGAGAGAUUUUCUGAGGUCCUUAAAAAGACAGUUUUCAACUCAAUAGCUCCUUUUUGCAGGAGAAGAUAGGCACCUAUGGCUAUUUCCAAGAAAGAGCUUUAACUAUUGCAUAAGGUCAGUAGCACAUUUGAAUCUACUUCUGGCCAAAUCAACACAGAGGUGGUCUGUCAGCACAUGAAAUUAGCUUAUGGAGAGAAAUGUAAUGUGUAGCCAAAUGCAGACAUGGGUAAACUUAACUGUUAAGUGUUUUGAGAAAAAUGAUAAGAAAUCAUAUACAUACCAAUACAGAAAGAAGUCUAAAUUGCUGAAAGUGGAUAUGAGCAAUCUCUAUCACACCAAAUGCAAGAAAAACCUGAGGGACACAACAAAACUUCUAGGAAAAAAGUGCUUGGGGACUGGAAGAAGCUACUCAAUUCUGACUGUAAAGGAACAGUUUAAAUGGGAUCAGAUACAAUUUUUCUAGCUUUAGUUUUUACAGUGGUUUAGGUAUUGUAGAAAACAGAGGGGAAAAAGGACUACACAUACACAAAGUUUCUAAUUACUUGCAUAUACAGACUCAGAAGCUGCUUUUGGCUUGUGGCCUGACGGUAUGCCUGCAUGGGUGGUGAAAGACAGGUAUGAUGAAGCUCAUCCUUCCAUGCAGUUACAGGCAUGCUGUGCUUGAAAAAUUCUGCAGUUGCAACAUCUGAAUCACUCUUUUUUGUUAAGCAAGAGUGGUUUUAUGCCGCUAGAGUGACUAGUGCUGCAGAGUACAGGGAAGUCUCUUGGGCAUUGCUUGCAGAAGCUCACCACCAGUAACACAAUGAGAAAGUACACUCUGACCUAAGAUGCUACACAACAUCCCCUAUGCUCCAAUUUAGGGCAUUUUGAUAUCAUAAGAACCCUUAGAUCUGUUGUAAAGCAUCAGCCACCACUUGUAUUUGAGACACCAGUCUGCUGUUGCUGGGAUGGAUGGCAAGGGAUGUCCAGGAGCAGCUUAGGCUGCAGAUGAUAGGAAAUCUUAACACUGGCUUUGAAGAAAAGGUCAAGUUCCACUCCGAGUCAUACUGUUGUUCAGCCAGUCCUCUCAAUGCCAUCUCUGGAGCAAUCAGAUCUUCCAAGCUACUGAUUGGUGUUAAACCUCCCACAUUCAAACAAGAUAGUAAAGUGGCCCAUGAAGAAAUGCUCCUGUGCACAUAUUUGUCACUGAAAUCUAGGACAGUCCUCAGCAGAGGUUCAGGUUUGGUUGUCAUAUAGAGGGUGCUGGCAGCUCUGUAUUCAUUCUCCUGGGCUUGCCUGCAGUGCUAGCUUCUAGCUCCAGCUAGCCUCUGCCAAACUUCCUCUUUUCAGACCUUAGUGAUAAUUACAGAGCCUCUGAAAUGGAUCCUUUCUGCUUAUAAGAAUGUUUGUUCGGAUGAUAUGGACAAGGAUAGCUGCUUUCUCUGCCUCUAAAGAAGUCAUGUGAAGAGCCCCAGAAGGCUUCAGCCUUCCCCCACUACUUUCUACAUCAAUUCUAAGUCUUUAUGUUUAUUUUCAAGGCUGCCUGUGAAACUGUCCAAGAAUGUAUUAGAAAAGCCUUUUCUUUGCAUGUUGAUAGCACUGUUCUUCUGAACCUUAGGAUAAUGAAAGACAAGGCAUUCUGUAAGCAGGGUCAUGGCUUUACAGAUCACUCUGCUUGAAGAUAUAAAUCUCCUUUCUCUGGCUUUACUGAAGACAGAUCUGAAAACAGCACAGAAAAGACAAGAAGGUGAAAGAAAAAAGAGAUGAAAAGAAAGCACGAUUGAAAAGAGCUAAAACAGUGAGAGAGAGGGAGUGAGGAAAGAAGUAUCUUGAAAAUACAAUUAAAUCAGUUACAAUAAAGAAAAAGGUUUUACCUUUCCUGAGACGUGGGAAAGAAAAUCAGCCCAGUGGGAUGCCAUGCAUUGUUCUGCUCUUAGAUACUCUCUCUAGAGUUUAUGAGCAUAUGGAGAAAGGAAUUCCAUGCAGUACAAAGAGACAUGCUUAUAUAGGUGAUGUGUCUGCUUAUACAGCUUGGCCAGCCUAGCUCUGUGUAGUAC